CGGACGGGUGAGUAAUGCAUCGGGACCUACCUGAACGUGGGGGAUAACGUAGGGAAACUUACGCUAAUACCGCAUACGUCCUACGGGAGAAAGCGGGGGACCUUCGGGCCUCGCGCGGUCAGACGGACCGAUGUUCGAUUAGCUAGUUGGUAAGGUAAUGGCUUACCAAGGCGACGAUCGAUAGCUGGUCUGAGAGGAUGAUCAGCCACACUGGAACUGAGACACGGUCCAG
rnacentral:rRNA from 1 species